UCACCCCUCAAGCCCUGGCUUGGUGUUGGACUUUAGUUAUGGCUUUGCCUAUCAACUGGUCUCAAAGAUAGUGACGGCGCCCCAGGGGGAACCGGGUACGAGGAGCUUUUUACUAAGCAUGUAUCUGGGACGACUCUGAUGGACGACGGUCUUGUUAUACUUUUACCAAG
rnacentral:misc_RNA from 1 species